GGCGUGCUUAACACAUGCAAGUCGAGCGAUGAAGUUUCCUUCGGGAAAUGGAUUAGCGGCGGACGGGUGAGUAACACGUGGGUAACCUGCCUCAUAGAGUGGAAUAGCCUUCCGAAAGGGAGAUUAAUACCGCAUAACGUUGAAAGAUGGCAUCAUCAUUCAACCAAAGGAGCAAUCCGCUAUGAGAUGGACCCGCGGCGCAUUAGCUAGUUGGUGGGGUAACGGCCUACCAAGGCGACGAUGCGUAGCCGACCUGAGAGGGUGAUCGGCCACAUUGGGACUGAGACACGGCCCAGACUCCUACGGGAGGCAGCAGUGGGGAAUAUUGCACAAUGGGGGAAACCCUGAUGCAGCAACGCCGCGUGAGUGAUGAAGGUUUUCGGAUCGUAAAGCUCUGUCUUUGGGGAAGAUAAUGACGGUACCCAAGGAGGAAGCCACGGCUAACUACGUGCCAGCAGCCGCGGUAAUACGUAGGUGGCGAGCGUUAUCCGGAUUUACUGGGCGUAAAGGGAGCGUAGGCGGAUGAUUAAGUGGGAUGUGAAAUACCCGGGCUCAACUUGGGUGCUGCAUUCCAAACUGGUUAUCCUAGAGUGCAGGAGAGGAAAGUGGAAUUCCUAGUGUAGCGGUGAAAUGCGUAGAGAUUAAGAAGAACACCCAGUGGCGAAGGCGACUCUCUGGACUGUAACUUGACGCUGAGGCUCGAAAGCGUGGGGGAGCAAACAGGAUUAGAUACCCUGGUAGUCCACGCCGUAAACGAUGAAUACUAGGUGUGGGGGUUUCAACACCUCCGUGCCGCCGCUAACGCAUUAAGUAUUCCGCCUGGGGAGUACGGUCGCAAGAUUAAAACUCAAAGGAAUUGACGGGGACCCGCGCAAGUAGCGGAGCAUGUGGUUUAAUUCGAAGCAACGCGAAGAACCUUACCUACACUUGACAUCCCUUGCAUUACUCUUAAUCGAGGAAAUCCCUUCGGGGACAAGGUGACCGGUGGUGCAUGGUUGUCGUCAGCUCGUGUCGUGAGAUGUUGGGUUAAGUCCCGCAACGAGCGCAACCCUUGUCGUUAGUUACUACCAUUAAGUUGAGGACUCUAGCGAGACUGCCUGGGUUAACCAGGAGGAAGGUGGGGAUGACGUCAAAUCAUCAUGCCCCUUAUGUGUAGGGCUACACACGUGCUACAAUGGCUGGUACAGAGAGAUGCAAUACCGCGAGGUGGAGCCAAACUUAAAAACCAGUCUCAGUUCGGAUUGUAGGCUGAAACUCGCCUACAUGAAGCUGGAGUUACUAGUAAUCGCGAAUCAGAAUGUCGCGGUGAAUACGUUCCCGGGUCUUGUACACACCGCCCGUCACACCAUGAGAGUUGGCAAUACCCGAAGUCCGUGAGCUAACCGUAAGGAGGCAGCGGCCGAAGGUAGGGUCAGCGAUUGGGG
rnacentral:rRNA from 1 species